rnacentral:rRNA from 1 species
AACGAACGCUGGCGGCAGGCUUAACACAUGCAAGUCGAACGCAUCCUUCGGGGUGAGUGGCAGACGGGUGAGUAACGCGUGGGAACGUGCCCUUCAGUUCGGAAUAACCCAGGGAAACUUGGGCUAAUACCGGAUACGUGCGAGAGCAGAAAGAUUUAUCGCUGAAGGAUCGGCCCGCGUCUGAUUAGCUAGUUGUUGGGGUAAUGGCCCACCAAGGCGACGAUCAGUAGCUGGUCUGAGAGGAUGAUCAGCAACAUUGGGACUGAGACACGGCCACAACUCCUACGGGAGGCAGCAGUGGGGAAUAUUAGACAAUGGGCGCAAGCCUGAUCCAGCCAUGCCGCGUGAGUGAUGACGGCCUUAGGGUUGUAAAGCCCUUUCGUCCGGGACGAUAAUGACGGUACCGGAAGAAGAAGCCCCGGCUAACUUCGUGCCAGCCGCCGCCGUAA